rnacentral:snoRNA from 1 species
UUCCAUCGUUAAGUCAAGGCGCCUUCUGCAUUUGUUUGCUCAUCGCAAUGGAAGACUGUCUGUUACAACUUUGGUAGAUUGAUUCCAUUCUCGCCGCUCUUGAUCCUUGGGUCUUGAGUAGACAGCUCACCGUCUUGGAGAGUCUGUCGUAAAGAGUCUGGUUCUGUUUCGUUUGAGUUGAGGGCCACUUCCACUUUCAUUAGUGGCUUGUGGUGGUUUUCUUAGUAAUGAUUCAUACAUUA